rnacentral:rRNA from 1 species
GAAAGAUUCAUCGGAAGAGGAUGGGCAUGCGGCGCAUUAGCUUGACGGCGGGGUAACGGCCCACCGUGGCGACGAUGCGUAGGGGUUCUGAGAGGAAGGUCCCCCACACUGGUACUGAGACACGGACCAGACUCCUACGGGAGGCAGCAGUGAGGAAUAUUGGUCAAUGGGAGAGAUCCUGAACCAGCCAAGCCGCGUGAGGGAAGACGGCCCUAUGGGUUGUAAACCUCUUUUGUCGGAGAACAAAACCCGGGACGUGUCCCGGACUGCGUGUAUCCGAAGAAAAAGCAUCGGCUAACUCCGUGCCAGCAGCCGCGGUAAUACGGAGGAUGCGAGCGUUAUCCGGAUUUAUUGGGUUUAAAGGGUGCGUAGGCGGUCCGUUAAGUCAGCGGUAAAAUUGCGGGGCUCAACCCCGUCGAGCCGUUGAAACUGGCAGACUUGAGUUGGCGAGAAGUACGCGGAAUGCGCGGUGUAGCGGUGAAAUGCAUAGAUAUCGCGCAGAACUCCGAUUGCGAAGGCAGCGUACCGGCGCCAGACUGACGCUGAGGCACGAAAGCGUGGGGAUCGAACAGGAUUAGAUACCCUGGUAGUCCACGCAGUAAACGAUGAAUGCUGGUUGUCCGGGUCGAAUGAGACCUGGGCGGCG